GACGAACGCUGGCGGCGUGCCUAACACAUGCAAGUCGAGCGAAAUUUUUCUGGUUCUUCCACUGGAAAAACUUAGCGGCGAACGUGUGAGUAACACGUCUACAACCUGCUUCAUAGACAGGGACAACUAUUGGCAACGAUAUCUAAUACUGCAUAACAGCAUUAACUGCAGGUCUUAUGUUCACAAGUUCGUUUUUCUAACACUAUCAGAUGGCUUUGCGGUGCAUUAGCUAGCUGGUGGGGUAAAGGCCUACCAAGGCGACGAUGCAUAGCCGACCUGAGAGGGUGAUCAAGCACACUGGGACUGAGAAACGGCCCAGACUCCUACGGGAGGCAGCAGUAGGGAAUAUUCCGCAAUGGGCGAAAGCCUGACGGAGCAAAGCCGCGUGGGUGAAGAAGGAUUUCGGUUCGUAAAGAUCUGUUGUUAGGGAAGAAUGACUGUGUAGUAACUAUACGCAGUUGAGACGGUACCGAAAGAGAAAGCCACGGCUAACUACGUG
rnacentral:rRNA from 1 species